rnacentral:rRNA from 1 species
UCUGGUGAUUAUGGCUUGAAGGUAACACCCGUUCCCAUGCCGAACACGAAGGUUAAGCUUCAAAGCGCUGAUGGUACUGCAG